rnacentral:misc_RNA from 1 species
UCCGUGUUAACCACGGCAGUCUCGCAUGAAAAACAACAUGCAAUGAGGGUUGCGCUCGUUACCCCACUGAAGGGAACAAUUCACAUCACGAGCUGACGACAACCGUGCAGCACCUGUCUAGCCACUAAGAUCUCUUCUUUCGAAGGUCACAUAGGCUAGAUUUCUAGGCCUGGUGAGGUUCCUCGCUUAUCGUCGAAUUAAACCACACGCUCCACCGCUUGUGCGGGCCCCCGUCUAUUCCUUUGAGUUUUAGCCUUGCGGCCGUACUACCCAGGCGGUCGACUUAACGCGUUAGCUUCGACACUGAGACGAUCGAAGUCCCAAUGCCUAGUCGACAUCGUUUACGGCGUAGAUUAC